rnacentral:rRNA from 1 species
UACGUAGGGCGCAAGCGUUGUCCGGAAUUCUUGGGCGUAAAGAGCUCGUAGGCGGCUUGUCACGUCGGGUGUGAAAGCCCGGGGCUUAACCCCGGGUCUGCAUUCGAUACGGGCUAGCUAGAGUGUGGUAGGGGAGAUCGGAAUUCCUGGUGUAGCGGUGAAAUGCGCAGAUAUCAGGAGGAACACCGGUGGCGAAGGCGGAUCUCUGGGCCAUUACUGACGCUGAGGAGCGAAAGCGUGGGGAGCGAACAGG